rnacentral:rRNA from 1 species
GAUGAACGCUGGCGGCGUGCCUAAUACAUGCAAGUCGAACGGAAAGGCGCGGCGCUUGCUGGGCGCUCGAUAGGCGAAGGGGUGAGAAACACGCGAGGAACACGUACCUGUAUGAGUGAGAACUCUAGGGAACAGCGGCGAUAAUCCGAGAGGAUCUUUUGCUCCGCAGGGGGCGAUGGUAAGAGUCGGUGGUGGUGGAAGGAAUCGCUGCUUAUGAGCUGGAUUGUCGGGUAGGUGCGGACCAAGCUUACGACGGAUAGCCGGCCUGGGAGGGUGACCGGCCACAUGGGGACUGAGAUACGGAGCAGUCUCCUACGGUAGGCAGCAGUGGAGAGUAUUGCGCAAUGAGGGGAAGCCUGAUGCAGCAACGCCGCGUGCGGGAUGCCGGCCUUCGAGUGGUGAACCGCUUUCGCAUGUGACGAAGCGUGAGUGACGGUAAUGAGUCAGAAAGCACCGGCUAACUACGUG